rnacentral:rRNA from 1 species
UACAGAGGGGGCAAGCGUUGUUCGGAAUUACUGGGCGUAAAGGGCGCGUAGGCGGCCUUCUAAGUCGAACGUGAAAUCCCCGGGCUCAACCUGGGAAUGGCAUUUGGGACUGCAAGGCUUGAGUGCGGCAGAGGAGACUGGAAUUCCUGGUGUAGCAGUGAAAUGCGUAGAUAUCAGGAGGAAUACCGAUGGCGAAGGCAGGUCUCUGGGCUGACACUGACGCUCAUGCACGAAAGCGUGGGGAGCAAACAGG